GAGGGCUGGCAGAAUUGGCAAUGCACCGGUCUUGAAAACCGGCGUCCUCACGGACUUCAGGGUUCGAGUCCCUGGCCCUCCG
rnacentral:tRNA from 1 species